UGGGCCGUAACUGACGCUGAGGCGCGAAAGCGUGGGGAGCGAACAGGAUUAGAUACCCUGGUAGUCCACGCGGUAAACGAUGAAUGCUAGGUGUAGGGGGUAUCGACCCCUCCUGUGCCGGAGUAAACACAAUAAGCAUUCCGCCUGGGGAGUACGGCCGCAAGGUUGAAACUCAAAGGAAUUGACGGGGGCCCGCACAAGCAGCGGAGCAUGUUGUUUAAUUCGAUGCAACGCGAAGAACCUUACCAGGUCUUGACAUCGACGUAAGCCUGUAGAGAUACGGGGUGCCUUCGGGCAACGGAAGACAGGUGGUGCAUGGUUGUCGUCAGCUCGUGUCGUGAGAUGUUGGGUUAAGUCCCGCAACGAGCGCAACCCUUAUGAUCAGUUACUAACGGGUAAAGCCGAGGACUCUGAUGAGACUGCCGGGGACAACUCGGAGGAAGGUGGGGACGACGUCAAAUCAUCAUGCCCCUUAUGACCUGGGCUACAAACGUGCUACAAUGGCGGCUACAAAGAGGAGCGAGCUCGCAAGGGUAAGCGGAUCUCAAAAAAGUCGUCUCAGUUCGGAUUGUGGGCUGCAACCGGCCCACAUGAAGUUGGAGUUGCUAGUAAUCGCGGAUCAGCAUGCCGCGGGAAACUUCCCGU
rnacentral:rRNA from 1 species